rnacentral:lncRNA from 1 species
UUUGAUUUUUUUUUUUUUUUUUUGCUUGUUUUGUGAAAGUCAAAUGGCCCAAUGUGAGCGGGCUUUGUAAAUUCUAAAAUGUUAACAAACGUUGACUUAUUAUUUUGAUGAUUCUUGUUCUCUUCUCCAUAAAUUGGUCAACAGUCUCACCAAUGAGCAGUCCUCUUUGUGAGCUUUAUUGCAUUGACAAAAGCUGGAAGAUGGGAAAAAGAGGACAAAGGGGGGCUGUCAAAUGAGACAAAGGGAACAGUGAGGGCACAGGAAGAAAGACUGGCAUAUGGUGAGGUGGGGGAGGGGCAAGGCACAGAAGAUACUGGUCAGUGGAAGAAACACACGCACACACACAAUCAACCAUGCUUCAAUAGAAAUAGUUCUUAACAUGUAAAAAAAAAGAAAAAGAAAAAUCCCUUGAUAGUAUUGAAAUGUCUCUGAAAGGUCUUUUUUUUUUUUUUCCCCCAAAUCUUGCCUUGUAAAAUCAAUUGUCAAUUCCAAAUUGACAGUUGUAGCUAUGACUAUUUAAACAGAUUUAACCUCUGUCUCAUUUUGUGGGUGAAAAGGGGCCUUUAAAUGGUAUCUUCUAGAUUCGUUCUUUAAACCUUUGCAUAUAAUUAUCCAUUAAAUAGGCAAGUCAGCCUGUCCAUCAAAUGCAGGAUUUAAAGUAGUACUCUGGCACCCUGGGUGUAUAAACAGUUCUGGAAACACCCGUAGUGUGGGGUUGGGGGUGGGGGACAUUAUCAAUAAACUUCUUAGCCUCCAGGUGUGGUCCUAAGAUUAUUUGACGUUCUGGUUAUGAUGCAGAGUCCUGGGACCACACACUGAUAACAUCCAUGUCAGUUUGGGAAUCCAGAGCCUGGGAAUCUGCAUGCUGAACAAAAUUUUCAGGCUAUUGCUUCCUACAGUCCAGAACAAGAACCCCUGGUCUGGUCAAUGUGGGCACUGACUGCAGGGCCCUGCGAGCUGACCAGCCUUGGCUGCAGCAGCUCCGGGCUGGCUAGGAUGCCCAAGGCUCCCGCGCAGCUGGCUUGGAGCCUUUUCCCUGGAGGAAAGUUUUUACAGCGAUGUGAAAUGCAGUAACCCUUUUCAUUCAAGGAUGACAUGAUGACUUAGGUAUUCCUUCUUUCUGCCUUCUGAGUGUCUGCACGCAUGCAUGUAUUUACUAUUUAGCUUGUGAAGUUUUCAUUUGCAAACGCCUUGCAUUACCGAAAUUUUGACUAUUCCUUGGACCAUUCUGUUGCAAGAAAUAAAUGUACUCUUUAAAUGAUUUAUUUCUUUUUC